rnacentral:rRNA from 1 species
GACGAACGCUGGCGGCGUGCCUAAUACAUGCAAGUAGAACGCUGAAGGAGGAGCUUGCUUCUCUGGAUGAGUUGCGAACGGGUGAGUAACGCGUAGGUAACCUGCCUGGUAGCGGGGGAUAACUAUUGGAAACGAUAGCUAAUACCGCAUAAGAGUAGAUGUUGCAUGACAUUUGCUUAAAAGUUGCAAUUGCAUCACUACCAGAUGGACCUGCGUUGUAUUAGCUAGUUGGUGGGGUAACGGCUCACCAAGGCGACGAUACAUAGCCGACCUGAGAGGGUGAUCGGCCACACUGGGACUGAGACACGGCCCAGACUCCUACGGGAGGCAGCAGUAGGGAAUCUUCGGCAAUGGACGGAAGUCUGACCGAGCAACGCCGCGUGAGUGAAGAAGGGUUUCGGAUCGUAAAGCUCUGUUGUAAGAGAAGAACGAGUGUGAGAGUGGAAAGUUCACACUGUGACGGUAUCUUACCAGAAAGGGACGGCUAACUACGUG